rnacentral:rRNA from 1 species
AUUACAAAACUACGAUCUGCGGACUAGCCUACCUGCAGAGACAGUGUCUGGCCCUAGCUUGCUUGCGACCGGCGCACGGGUGCGUAACGCGCUGCAAUCUGCCUUGCGCGGGGGAAUACCCCAGAAAAAUUGGGAUUAUUCCCCCUUGGAUUUUUGGUGGGGCAUCACGCUAUUAUUAGACACUUAUCGGUGCAGGAUGCGCUUGCGUACCAUUAGUUAGGUGGGGAGGUAGCGGCUUACCAAGACGAUGAUGGGUAGGGGUCCUGAGAGGGAGAUCCCCCUGCUACUGCUGACACACGGACCUCACUCCUACGGCAGGCAUGGGGAGGAAUAUUGGUGGUGGGCGCAUGCCUGAACCAUCCCUGCCGCGUGCAGGAUGACUGCCCUAUGGGUUGUGCUCUGCUUUUAUACGGAAAGAAACCCCUCCAUACGUGGAGGAUUGACCGGACCCGAAGAAAUAGGAUCCGCUUACUCCCUGCCCGCAGCCCCGGGUAUACCGAGGAUCCAAGCGUUAUCCGGAAUCGUUGGGGCUAAAGGGUCCGUAGGCGGCCCUGUUAAGACGGGGGGAAAUCUCCCGGCUCCCCGGGAAACUGCCAUUGAUACUGCAGGUCUUGAAUGUUUGGGAAAUAACUAUGAUAUUCAGCGUGGCGCAGAAAUGCUUAGAUAUUACAUGAAGAACCGAUUGCGAGAGCAGGUUCCUAACAAACUGUUGUCACUGAUAUGACUAAAGCGUGGGGGAGAAAACAGGAUUAGAUACCCUGGUAGUCCCCGGCCUAAACCAAUGACACUAGCUGGCUGACUGUCUUGUUCCUCGGCUAAACAAAAGUGAUGAGUAUCUCACCUCCUGAGUACGGCCGCCGCGAUGAUAAAAUCUGAAUCGACGGCAGGGAUGGACG